GAAAUGCGAUAAGUAAUGUGAAUUGCAGAAUUCAGUGAAUCAUCGAAUCUUUGAACGCACAUUGCGCCCCUUGGUAUUCCGAGGGGCAUGCCUGUUCGAGCGUCAUUACACCACUCAAGCUAUGCUUGGUAUUGGGUGCCGUCCUUAGUUGGGCGCGCCUUAAAGACCUCGGCGAGGCCUCACCGGCUUUAGGCGUAGUAGAAUUUAUUCGAACGUCUGUCAAAGGAGAGGACUUCUGCCGACUGAAACCUUUUAUUUUUCUAGGUUGACCUCGGAUCAGGCAGAGAUACGCGCUAAAGUUAAGC
rnacentral:misc_RNA from 1 species